rnacentral:piRNA from 1 species
UAGAUCGAGCUUUCUCCUGACUGCAGGUGU